rnacentral:rRNA from 1 species
GGAGGUUGGCUUAGAAGCAGCCAUCCUUUAAAGAUAGCGUAACAGCUCACUGGUCGAGAGUCCUUGCGCCGAAAAUGAUCGGGGCUCAAGCAUAUUACCGAAACUGCGGAUUUGUACUUUUAGUACAAGUGGUAGGAGAGCGUUCGUAUUGCGAUGAAUCCAAGGCGGGAGCCGCGGUGGAGCGAUGCGAAGUGAGAAUGCCGGCACAAGUAACCGCAAGGCGGGUGAGACCCCCGUCCGCCGAAAUACCAAGGUUUCCUUUGCGAUGGUGAUCAUCGAAGGGUUAGUCGGUCCUAAGCAGAUGGCGAAAGCCGCACGCGAUGGACACACGGUUAAUAUUCCGUGACUUCUUUAAAUAGUGAUGGAGGGACGGAGUCUAGUAUUUCUAGCGCAUUAAUGGAUUUGCGUUUGUACUGUGAGGAUGUGUUGUAGGUAAAUCCGCAACGCAUAAGUCCAAGCAGAGCAUAAAUGUUUGCCUUCGGGUGGAUAGAUUAGGAAAAGCAGGCUUCCAAGAAAAGCUUCUAAACUUAUAUUUAAUGAAACCGUACCGCAAACCGACACAGGUGGUCAGGUCGAGUAGACCAAGGCGAACGAGUGAGAGGUCCUCAAGGAACUCGGCAAAAAAGCAGCCGUAAGUUAGCGAUAAGGCUUGCCUUCACCACUUUGGACGGUUCCAAAGUG